rnacentral:rRNA from 1 species
UACGGGGGGGGCAAGCGUUGUUCGGAAUUACUGGGCGUAAAGGGCUCGUAGGCGGCCAACUAAGUCAGACGUGAAAUCCCUCAGCUUAACUGGGGAACUGCGUCUGAUACUGGAUGGCUUGGAUUCGGGAGAGGAAUGCGGAAUUCCCAGUGUAGUGGUGAAAUACGUAGAGAUUGGGAAGAACACCAGUGGCGAAGGCGGCUAUCUGGACGGUUUCUGACGCUAAGACGCGAAAGCGUGGGGAGCAAACAGG